rnacentral:rRNA from 1 species
GGAUUAGUGGCGAACGGGUGAGUAACACGUGGGCAAUCUGCCCUGCACUCUGGGACAAGCCCUGGAAACGGGGUCUAAUACCGGAUACGACCACUGAGGGCAUCCUCGGUGGUGGAAAGCUCCGGCGGUGCAGGAUGAGCCCGCGGCCUAUCAGCUUGUUGGUGGGGUGAUGGCCUACCAAGGCGACGACGGGUAGCCGGCCUGAGAGGGCGACCGGCCACACUGGGACUGAGACACGGCCCAGACUCCUACGGGAGGCAGCAGUGGGGAAUAUUGCACAAUGGGCGAAAGCCUGAUGCAGCGACGCCGCGUGAGGGAUGACGGCCUUCGGGUUGUAAACCUCUUUCAGCAGGGAAGAAGCGAAAGUGACGGUACCUGCAGAAGAAGCGCCGGCUAACUACGUGCCAGCAGCCGCGGUAAUACGUAGGGCGCGAGCGUUGUCCGGAAUUAUUGGGCGUAAAGAGCUCGUAGGCGGCUUGUCACGUCGGUUGUGAAAGCCCGGGGCUUAACCCCGGGUCUGCAGUCGAUACGGGCAGGCUAGAGUUCGGUAGGGGAGAUCGGAAUUCCUGGUGUAGCGGUGAAAUGCGCAGAUAUCAGGAGGAACACCGGUGGCGAAGGCGGAUCUCUGGGCCGAUACUGACGCUGAGGAGCGAAAGCGUGGGGAGCGAACAGGAUUAGAUACCCUGGUAGUCCACGCCGU